rnacentral:rRNA from 1 species
UUCCGGUUGAUCCUGCCGGACCCGACUGCUAUCAGAGUGGGACUAAGCCAUGCGAGUUAACGUAGCAAUACGUGGCAUACGGCUCAGUAACACGUAGUCAACAUGCCCAGAGGACGUGGACAACCUCGGGAAACUGAGGAUAAACCGCGAUAGUUCAUGAUUCCUGGAAUGGUUCAUGGCCGAAAUCUAUAUGGCCCCUGGAUUGGACUGCGGCCGAUCAGGCUGUUGGUGAGGUAAUGGCCCGCCAAACCUGUAACCGGUACGGGCUCUGAGAGGAGGAGCCCGGAGAUGGGCACUGAGACAAAGGCCCAGGCCCUAUGGGGCGCAGCAGGCGCGAAACCUCUGCAAUAGGCGAAAGCCUGACAGGGUUACUCUGAGUGAUUUCCGUUAAGGAGAUCUUUUGGCACCUCUAAAAAUGGUGCAGAAUAAGGGGUGGGCAAGUCUGGUGUCAGCCGCCGCGGUAAUACCAGCACCCCGAGUGGUCGGGACGUUUAUUGGGCCUAAAGCAUCCGUAGCCGGUUCUGCAAGUCUUCCGUUAAAUCCACCUGCUUAACAGAUGGGCUGCGGAAGAUACUAUAGAGCUAGGAGGCGGGAGAGGCAAGCGGUACUCGAUGGGUAGGGGUAAAAUCCGUUGAUCCAUUGAAGACCACCAGUGGCGAAAGCGGCUUGCCAGAACGCGCUCGACGGUGAGGGAUGAAAGCUGGGGGAGCAAACCGGAUUAGAUACCCGGGUAGUCCCAG